GGUUAAGCGACUAAGCGUACACGGUGGAUGCCCUGGCAGUCAGAGGCGAUGAAGGACGUGCUAAUCUGCGAUAAGCGUCGGUAAGGUGAUAUGAACCGUUAUAACCGGCGAUUUCCGAAUGGGGAAACCCAGUGUGUUUCGACACACUAUCAUUAACUGAAUCCAUAGGUUAAUGAGGCGAACCGGGGGAACUGAAACAUCUAAGUACCCCGAGGAAAAGAAAUCAACCGAGAUUCCCCCAGUAGCGGCGAGCGAACGGGGAGCAGCCCAGAGCCUGAAUCAGUGUGUGUGUUAGUGGAAGCGUCUGGAAAGGCGUGCGAUACAGGGUGACAGCCCCGUACACAAAAAUGCACAUAUUGUGAGCUCGAUGAGUAGGGCGGGACACGUGGUAUCCUGUCUGAAUAUGGGGGGACCAUCCUCCAAGGCUAAAUACUCCUGACUGACCGAUAGUGAACCAGUACCGUGAGGGAAAGGCGAAAAGAACCCCGGCGAGGGGAGUGAAAAAGAACCUGAAACCGUGUACGUACAAGCAGUGGGAGCACGCUUAGGCGUGUGACUGCGUACCUUUUGUAUAAUGGGUCAGCGACUUAUAUUCUGUAGCAAGGUUAACCGAAUAGGGGAGCCGAAGGGAAACCGAGUCUUAACUGGGCGUUAAGUUGCAGG
rnacentral:rRNA from 1 species